GACGAACGCUGGCGGCGUGCUUAACACGUGCAAGUCGAACGGAAAGGCCCUGCUCUUGUGGGGUGCUCGAGUGGCGAACGGGUGAGUAACACGUGAGUAACCUGCCCUUGACUUUGGGAUAACUUCAGGAAACUGGGGCUAAUACCGGAUAGGAUCUCCUGCUGCAUGGUGGGGGUUGGAAAGUUUCGGCGGUUGGGGAUGGACUCGCGGGUUAUCAGCUUGUUGGUGUGGUAGUGGCUUACCAAGGCUUUGACGGGUAGCCGGCCUGAGAGGGUGACCGGCCACAUUGGGACUGAGAGACGGCCCAGACUGCUACGGGAGGCAGAAGUGGGGAAUAUUGCACAAUGGGCGGAAGCCUGAUGCAGCAACGCCGCGUGCGGGAUGACGGCUUUCGGGUUGUAAACCGCUUUCGACUGUGACGAAGCGUGAGUGACGGUAAUGGGUAAAGAAGCCCCGGCUAACUACGUG
rnacentral:rRNA from 1 species